rnacentral:rRNA from 1 species
UACGUAGGGUGCAAGCGUUGUCCGGAAUCAUUGGGCGUAAAGAGCGUGUAGGCGGCUCGGUAAGUCCGCUGUAAAAGUCCAGGGCUCAACCCUGGAAAGCCGGUGGAAACUGUCGAGCUAGAGUCCGGAAGAGGCGAGUGGAAUUCCUGGUGUAGCGGUGAAAUGCGCAGAUAUCAGGAGGAACACCAAUGGCGAAGGCAGCUCGCUGGGACGGUACUGACGCUGAGACGCGAAAGCGUGGGGAGCAAACAGG